UUGAACAACUUUAAAUUCAAUCACCACAGCGCAUCCUACAACUCCGGUUACUAACCAGCAACCAAUUCGUCUUCAUACAAGAGAACAACACACUUCUGCAAUUACAUAAUUUUUUUAUAAGAAAGCAGGAAAUCUAAAACAUAUCACAAAUCACAAAUCCAGUGUCAUGAACUCCAUCCCGACUGACUCAUACUGCCUGGAUAUUGUCCAGGUUCUGUUCCCCCUAGCAGUACUCACUCAAUGGUACAUGUUCUAUUUUCAAGCAAACAAAAUUAGCCAAUUUCAUUCACGGAAUUCAAAAUCCAACUUAGGUUCAUAAUACUCAGGGAUACUUAACAAAAAUUCUACAUGUAAGAGCUUCACUUAUUCGCUUGAAAGACCUUAAAAUCACUACAUACAUGGGCACAAAUGAAUUAAUUCCAAAUAAAAAUAAAAGUAAAACUAAAACUAAAUAAGGUGCGACCAGAAUCACGGGUUUCUGGUAACUCACCGACGAGCACAACUCCAGUUUUUAAAGAGGCUCCUGUAGAAUACCCCUGUGAAGUUCGGGUUCCAACACUUGAUGGAAGACCCUUCAGCUUAUCGAGUUAGGUGCACGAUUUUGGCUUCUAGGUCCUGCAUACACACACAAAUAUUCAUCCGAUCAAAACNN
rnacentral:lncRNA from 1 species